rnacentral:RNase_P_RNA from 1 species
AAUGGAAGUUGAUCGAGCUAGUAUUUUUACUAGUUAGGAAAGUCCAUACUAGCACACUCUGUGAUGAGUGUAGUGAUUGUGCUUAAGGAAAAAAUAACUUAAGGCACCAAUUGGUGACGGCCUUUAAUACUUCUAAGGUUUAUACUAUGAAGGAUUAAAGAUAAAGUGCCACAGAGACGAACUGUUAUAGAAAUAUAACAGGUGAAACGCGGUAAACCCCACAAGCUAGCAACCCAAAUUUUGGUAGGGGCACAUUCUAAAAGCAAAACGAAGCUUUUAGUUUGCUACAAACGUAGAGAUAAAUGAUCAUACUCUUUUAAAGAGACAGAAUAUGGCUUAUGCAC